rnacentral:rRNA from 1 species
AACGAACGCUGGCGGCGUGCCUAACACAUGCAAGUCGAACGAGAAAGGGGCUUCGGCUCCGAGUAAAGUGGCGCACGGGUGAGUAACACGUGGGUAACCUGCCUCUAAGAUUGGGAUAACUCGUCGAAAGAUGAGCUAAUACCGAAUAAGACCACAGUUUCUGCGGGGACAGGGGUCAAAGGUAGCCUCUGCUUGCAAGCUAUCACUUAGAGAUGGGCCUGCGCACCAUUAGCUAGUUGGUAGGGUAACGGCCUACCAAGGCAAAGAUGGUUAGCUGGUCUGAGAGGAUGAUCAGCCACACUGGAACGGAGACACGGUCCAGACUCCUACGGGAGGCAGCAGUGGGGAAUAUUGCGCAAUGGGCGAAAGCCUGACGCAGCAACGCCGCGUGAGUGAUGAAGGCCUUCGGGUCGUAAAGCUCUGUCGGAAGGAACGAAUGCUCCUGAGGUUAACAGCCUCGGGAGGUGACGGUACCUUCAAAGGAAGCACCGGCUAACUCUGUGCCAGCAGCCGCCGUAACAC